UAAUGUAGAUGAGAAUGUCUAGGGAGAAAAACUUGAGUGAACUGAGAAGACAGACAGCCCGUGACCAAAUUCUGAGAACUCCAACCAUUCACUGGUUGAGUGGAAGAGAACAAGCUCAGAAAAUAAAUGGAGAAAACAUGGUAGGAGGAGCAGAAGAAAAAUGAGGAGAAUGCUGUCUCAUGGAAGACAAGGGAAUUGGUGCACAUGGUAUGGACCCCAGCAAGUCCCCCUCUGCAGGUCAGGUGGGGAUCCAGGGAAGAUGCUGGAGACCAUGUUACAGCUCCAAUCCAAAGGGACUCUGAAGCUAGCAAAGCUUGGAGAAGCCUGAACAAGCUGGUCACCCUCACUGUCAAAGACUUUCAUUUCCACGGAAGGGAAACUGAUGACCUGGGACCAUUGGAAGAACUAUAUGGAUGAAGCAGUUCUAAGGACUGCAAAGCUGCGCAGCGGGAACCAACUCCCUACUGCAGUUAUCAUUCGCCUUUAAAGUCUCCGUGUCAAGACACACAGAAAGUGUCUACACCAAAUGGACAAACGUUCCAGGGGGUUUCCUUCCCAACUGCUUAUUAAGAAAUCCAUCCUCUUCACAUCAGUGGGACUUCAUUCUACUCAAAUUCCAUCAAUUCCCAAUAGCUCCAACACGAGGACAAACCCUAGGAGAUGAGGGUGCCAUCUCAAGUCUCUUAUUUUGGUUAUUUAACUGAAUAAGAAAAUGUGUAUAACUGCAGCAAAUGACUCCUAUCUUUCCUGGAAAACAAACGCAGCCAUUUGCUGUGUCUCACAAUGUGUCCUUUAAGUCGCCUGCUCCUGCUGCUGUCUGUGGGAGCCAGAGCUGAGGUGCGCAGGACAGACCGCCUGGUUUGGAAACCUUGGAAGCAUGGUCUGCUUGUAUUACCUGGGGUCAUAGAUUUAGCACUCAUAAAGUCAUGUCUGUCUGUUCCUUCUGUGUCUCCAGCCAAGGAAAGAGGAGACAGGAGUAAUCAGCCUACUCAAGGAAAGAGGCAGGAGUGAUUUGAAUAAUUAUCUAUCUUUUAGACAAAAUACUGCAUUCUAUUAUGUUAUGCAAAUUCAAAUAAUGGGCUUUUUUAUGUGAACUACAUCCGUUUACAUCCUCAUUAUCCCAAGGUUUCGGUAUUCGGCCAGGUAAUGACAGCUGUGAAAACAGACUUGGAAACUUACUGCUAUCUUCAUUAAUUUACUGUAGGUAACUGACCUAGUCAAACAUCCCUGAAUAUGAUAUAAAAUUCACAGACUGUGUUUACCCGUGAAUCCGGCUGAAUUCCAGCUCUGCGUUUCUCAUCCCAUAUUAAACAUGACGACAGAUGCACCAACAGAGGUUACUGGGGAACCUCUCCCAGGCAUUGUCUUGCAGAGAUAAAGUUCUGUAAUUAAGCUGCUGUUCACCAAUGUGGAAAUAAUACAGUGUAUUGGAAAACGGUAAUUAACUAAACUAUCAUCUUUGUAACAGCCUGUUACACAUGGGACUCCUUAGAACAGACUUUGCUUGGAGUCCAACAGCUCUUAUUGUAAGUUGGGCAGGAACAAAAAUGGGGAUGAGGAACUUCCCCCUGACUGAGCUGGCUGUUGGUGGCAUUAUCCUAUUACCACUGACACCAAUCAGGUGCUA
rnacentral:lncRNA from 10 species